CAGGAGCCUAGGGACAAGCUGA
rnacentral:misc_RNA from 1 species